rnacentral:rRNA from 1 species
AAAGGAAUUGACGGGGGCCCGCACAAGCAGUGGAGUAUGUGGUUUAAUUCGAUGCAACGCGAAGAACCUUACCGGGGCUUGACAUCCCGCGCAAUCCCGAGAGAUCGGGAGUUCCCUUUUGGGACGCGGUGACAGGUGGUGCAUGGUUGUCGUCAGCUCGUGUCGUGAGAUGUUGGGUUAAGUCCCGCAACGAGCGCAACCCCUAUCGUCGGUUGCCAUCAUUAAGUUGGGCACUUUGACGAGACUGCCGGUGAUAAAUCGGAGGAAGGUGGGGAUGACGUCAAAUCAUCAUGCCCUUUAUGUCCCGGGCUACACACGUACUACAAUGGCUGUUACAACGGGAAGCGAAGUCGCGAGGCGGAGCGAAUCCUAAAAAGGCAGCCCCAGUUCGGAUUGCAGGCUGCAACUCGCCUGCAUGAAGUCGGAAUUGCUAGUAAUGGCAGGUCAGCAUACUGCCGUGAAUACGUUCCCGGGCCUUGUACACACCGCCCGU